UGAGGACCGAGUGGACUCAGGAUGAAGGAAGAUGUCGCAAUGGACAUGGAAAUGGAUAUACUUAACAAGCUUCCACCACCUCUGGAACGCCGCCCUUCAUUGACAACCUCAUCAAAAACAUUCAAACCGAUAACUUACGCUUGCUGCACAGUAUCAACAAAGAUUACUCAGAGUUGAUGUAAAACUACCAACUGUGAAAGUGAGAUACAAGAACCUCCGCGUGGAAGCUGAAUGUGAUGUAGUUCAUGGGAAGCCGCUACCUACACUAUGGAAUUCUUUAAAAACCAUGGUUUCUUUCCCUGCAGCAGCAAAACUGAUGGGUUCGAAAUCACGCAGCUAAAAUAUGCCUUAUCGGCGAUGUCAGUGGCAUCAUAAAAUCUGGAAGGAUGACUCUACUUCUUGGUCCUCCAGGACGUGGGAAGACCACCUUGUUGAGGCACUUUCCGGAAAUCUAGACCGAUCGCUU